ensembl:lncRNA
GUGCUGGGUGGCUCCUGGCCACAAGGCGGCGCAGUCUCCCUAGUUCUGGGCUAAGUAGAGGCCUCUGAUGCCCCCAUGGUGCCCAGGCUCAGACUAGCGGGGACUUCAGUCCUCUCCUGCAGGCAGCCCAGGUGCAGGGGUUUGAUGGACAACAGACCACUCCUCUCUGGGCAGCUCCCACAGUGGUCUGACCAGGUUUCACCAUCUCUUGAAGACUUCCUCAAACCUCAGCAGCUCCAGGAAGUCCCUUCUGAUUACUCCAGAGGGAGGAAAAGCACCUGGUUUGUCCCACUCGCCGUUACAUCCUGAAUGCCUAAUACCAUCCCUGGUGUAAGGAGGGGCUCAACUUUCUCCAUCCAGAAGAUGGCUCAGUGGUCCGAACUUACAUCUUUCAAGCUCACCAAAUCCAAGAAGAAUAGGAUUUUCCUCUCCAGCUCCAAUUUUGAAAUUCUGGUAAAGGAGUUUAGUGUCUUGUUUUGCUUUGGGCUGAAAUCCCCGGUGGAUCCCCCCUGCGCUUUGCACGAGCUGUCUGUCCUGUCACGGCUGCUGUGGGUGGGUCGUCGGUCUCGGAGUGUGAAGCUGGAGAGAAUCCUGGAACCCGUGUUAUGCCUUGAGCUGUCACUUCUGGUUUUCCUGCUGAGAAAAUCUUCCAAGCCGAGCAGUGUGAAUAAUAUUGGCUUUUUGUCUCAAAAAGGAGAAUGGCUCUAAGAUUGGUUUUUCUAUUUGUGUUUCUUUGUUUUGGUAGAAAGCAGAGAUGGCAAUUUUGUAAAAUGGAGUCUUGCUAGGACGGUCCCAGGAAUGGGGCCUUUUGAAAACAUAUUGUUCAGUUGCUUAGUGCGCGACUCUUUGCCACCCCCACGAACUGCAGCAUGCCAGGCUUUCCUGCCCUUCAC